rnacentral:rRNA from 1 species
GAUGAACGCUGGCGGCGUGCCUAAUACAUGCAAGUCGAGCGAACAGACGAGGAGCUUGCUCCUCUGACGUUAGCGGCGGACGGGUGAGUAACACGUGGAUAACCUACCUAUAAGACUGGGAUAACUUCGGGAAACCGGAGCUAAUACCGGAUAAUAUAUUGAACCGCAUGGUUCAAUAGUGAAAGACGGUUUUGCUGUCACUUAUAGAUGGAUCCGCGCCGCAUUAGCUAGUCGGUAAGGUAACGGCUUACCAAGGCAACGAUGCGUAGCCGACCAGAGAGGGUGAUCGGCCACACUGGAACUGAGACACGGUCAAGACUCCGACGGGAGGCAGCAGUAGGGAAUCUUCAGCAAUGGGCGAAAGCCUGACGGAGCAACGCCGCGUGAGUGAUGAAGGUCUUCGGAUCGUAAAACUCUGUUAUUAGGGAAGAACAAAUGUGUAAGUAACUAUGCACGUCUUGACGGUACCUAAUCAGAAAGCCAAGGCUAACUACGUG